rnacentral:rRNA from 1 species
UACGUAGGGCGCAAGCGUUGUCCGGAAUUAUUGGGCGUAAAGAGCUCGUAGGCGGCUUGUCACGUCGGGUGUGAAAGCCCGGGGCUUAACCCCGGGUCUGCAUUCGAUACGGGCAGGCUAGAGUGUGGUAGGGGAGAUCGGAAUUCCUGGUGUAGCGGUGAAAUGCGCAGAUAUCAGGAGGAACACCGGUGGCGAAGGCGGAUCUCUGGGCCAUUACUAACGCUGAGGAGCGAAAGCGUGGGGAGCGAACAGG